rnacentral:rRNA from 1 species
GACGGAGGGUGCAAGCGUUGUUCGGAAUUACUGGGCGUAAAGGGCGCGUAGGCGGUUUGCUAAGUUCGGUGUGAAAGCCCCUGGCUCAACUGGGGAACGGCGCUGGAAACUGGCAGACUAGAGUACCGGAGAGGAGGGUGGAAUUCCUGGUGUAGCGGUGAAAUGCGUAGAUAUCAGGAGGAACACCGGUGGCGAAGGCGGCCCUCUGGACGGAUACUGACGCUGAGGCGCGAAAGCGUGGGGAUCAAACAGG